rnacentral:rRNA from 1 species
GUCGAACGAGAAUCUUUGGAAUGAUUCUUUCGGGAUGAAUUCCAAACAUGAAAGUGGCGGACGGGCGAGUAACGCGUGAGUAACCUGCCCAUAAGAGGGGGAUAAUCCAUGGAAACGUGGACUAAUACCGCAUAUUGUAGUUAAGUUGCAUGACUUGAUUAUGAAAGAUUAUCGCUUAUGGAUGGACUCGCGUCAGAUUAGAUAGUUGGUGAGGUAACGGCUCACCAAGUCAACGAUCUGUAGCCGAACUGAGAGGUUGAUCGGCCGCAUUGGGACUGAGACACGGCCCAGACUCCUACGGGAGGCAGCAGUGGGGAAUAUUGCGCAAUGGGGGCAACCCUGACGCAGCAACGCCGCGUGCAGGAAGAAGGUCUUCGGAUUGUAAACUGUUGUCGCAAGGGAAGAAGACAGUGACGGUACCUUGUGAGAAAGUCACGGCUAACUACGUGCCAGCAGCCGCGGUAAUACGUAGGUGACAAGCGUUGUCCGGAUUUACUGGGUGUAAAGGGCGCGUAGGCGGACUGUCAAGUCAGUCGUGAAAUACCGGGGCUUAACCCCGGGGCUGCGAUUGAAACUGACAGCCUUGAGUAUCGGAGAGGAAAGCGGAAUUCCUAGUGUAGCGGUGAAAUGCGUAGAUAUUAGGAGGAACACCAGUGGCGAAGGCGGCUUUCUGGACGACAACUGACGCUGAGGCGCGAAAGUGUGGGGAGCAAACAGGAUUAGAUACCCUGGUAGUCCACACCGUAAACGAUGGAUACUAGGUGUAGGAGGUAUCGACCCCUUCUGUGCCGCAGUUAACACAAUAAGUAUCCCACCUGGGGAGUACGACCGCAAGGUUGAAACUCAAAGGAAUUGACGGGGGCCCGCACAAGCAGUGGAGUAUG